UACGUAGGGUGCGAGCGUUAAUCGGAAUUACUGGGCGUAAAGGGUGCGCAGGCGGAUACGUAAGUUAGAUGUGAAAUCCCCGAGCUUAACUUGGGAAUGGCAUUUAAGACUGCAUGUCUAGAGUUUGUCAGAGGGGGGUAGAAUUCCAAGUGUAGCAGUGAAAUGCGUAGAGAUUUGGAGGAAUACCGGUGGCGAAGGCGACCCCCUGGGAUAAAACUGACGCUCAUGCACGAAAGCGUGGGUAGCAAACAGG
rnacentral:rRNA from 1 species